GGGAUGAGUAACACGUGGAUAACCUACCUCAAGGCUGGGGAUAACAUUUGGAAACAGAUGCUAAUACCGAAUAAAACUUAGUAUCGCAUGAUACAAAGUUGAAAGGCGCUACGGCGUCACCUAGAGAUGGGUCCGCGGUGCAUUAGUUAGUUGGUGGGGUAAAGGCCUACCAAGACAAUGAUGCAUAGCCGAGUUGAGAGACUGAUCGGCCACAUUGGGACUGAGACACGGCCCAAACUCCUACGGGAGGCUGCAGUAGGGAAUCUUCCACAAUGGGCGAAAGCCUGAUGGAGCAACGCCGCGUGUGUGAUGAAGGCUUUAGGGUCGUAAAGCACUGUUGUAUGGGAAGAAAUGCUAGAAUAGGGAAUGAUUCUAGUUCGACGGUACCAUACCAGAAAGGGACGGCUAAAUAC
rnacentral:rRNA from 1 species